GAAGAAGGGUCAGAGUCAGAGAUUUGAAGAUGCUACAGCUGGUGGCUUUUAAGGUGGAGGAAAGGGCCUCGGACCAAGGAAUGCCGGCCUGUUGUUGUAGUUAGUGCCCCCUAGUCAAUUCUGACUCCUAGUGACCCUGUGUACAGCAGAGCUGAAGCCUGCAUGGUCUUUUUGUGCCAUCCCUCUCACCUUCCAGCUCUAUAUCAGACAAUGUUCUGCUGCUAUCCAUAAGGUUUUCAUGGCCACUUUUUUCAAACGUGGGUGGCCAGGUCCUUCUUCCUACUCUAGCUCAGUCUAGAAACUCAACUGAAAUCUGAAACCUGUACUGGUAGCAUAGCUUUCAGCAACACACGGCUGCCACAGUAUGACAGCCCACAGAUGAGUAGUGUGACUCCCUGACUGGGAAAUGAAAACCCAGCUGUGGCGAUGAGACUGCUGAAUCUUAACCACCAGACCAUUAGGACUGGCAGGCAACCUGUAGAAGCUGGAAAAUGCAAGGAAACUGAUUCUCCUGUAGAGCCUCCAGAAGGAAUUCCACCUGGCUGACACCUUGAUUUUAGCCCAGGAAGACCCAUUCCGGCUUUCUGACCUCCACAACUGCGAGAAGAUAAACAGCUGCCACCAUAGCAUGGCCACUGAUGAAUGGUGUAUGUCUGCUCCCAGGAACUGAACCCAGAAUGCCAAAGUGGAGUGCACUGAACUUAACCGUUAGGCCACUGGGGCUGGCCCUAUUCUUCCUUUUUCUUGAAAGGUUAUGCACAAGACACUAGAGAAGCACAGAAUGCCAAGAAAGAGCCAGGAAACUGAGGCUCAAUGAAGAGAAGUGAUUUGCACAAGGUCAACUAAUAAAGCAUUAUGUGUCACUUCCAACUUUAAAGAGAAAUAGAAGCCACCAGGCAGUGCACAUCAGACUUCACUACUGGAUUGCAGAUGACUGUUGUCACCUUGAGAAACUAUUAAAUUAAUCAAUUUCUCCCCAAGGUUGGCAUUAACUACUGACAUUUUAAUUGCACAACAGUAUUAACAAUCCUUGUAAUGCUUCAAAUGUUUGUCUAAAGCUGUUCAUGGCCAGCUUUUGUGUGUUUAGAAUGGGAUUAGAUGAAGUUUGUUUAUUAUUGUGUUAAUUUCUUCCACAUCUUUCUUAUUCUGGGCACACUUUAAUAAAAUGCUGCUUUUUCUCAUGUACUUCUUAGGACUUGGGGAAAAAAAAAAACCAAACUCUGACCUUCUUUGUAUAGCUUUCUUUUAGUGAGGAUUUUAUCUUUCAACCAGAACCAGAAAGUGACUAAGUAAUUUCUCAGAACUAGUAUGAGCUCAUUUGGUCUUGCUUAGUUCUCUCGAGCAAUAAAAGUAGUACUUUUCAACCGUGUAUAUUUCAUGACACAUUUACAAAUUUGCUGCAGGCAGCAAAACAAGUUUCUGAUAGAGCAAAGCAGGAGAUAAACCUGACCACGGACACUGGGAAAAUUCUCAACAUGCAAACACCUUAGUCUAACAACUUCUCCUGACCACUGUGGAAGUGGAAGCAGAUUAUAUUCAAUGUGCAACAAACUUGUUUUGUUAGCCACCUUUUCAAAAAUAUUUAUCUCCCCUCUUUCCCUCCUUCCCAGUGACAACUCUAUGUCUACCUCUGUUUGCAGUACCCAAUCUCGGAUUUCUUCCCCUAACAUAUUUUUCACUCUGUGUCUGUUUUGGAGGGACACAGAAAAUAUUAGAAAGAACGUAAGAAUUGUAAUGAAGUAGAUCUAGGUCCUCAUGUAACUCCACUGCUGUGCUAUGUGAGUCAGAUCACUCAAGCUCUCUGAGCUGCAGUUUCGUUUUUUUUCUGAAAUAGAGACAAUAAUGCUUUAUGUGAGGACUAAACUAGAUAUGCAAAAAAAGAAAGUCAACAAAUUGUGUAUUUAUAAUAAGAGUCAAAGGGGAACUUUGGCUACACUGUUGCAGGGGUCCGUGGCCUCAGAAUAGCAUAAGAUUUGGUGCUGAACGUCCCUGCAGUCUGGCCCCUGAAAGUAGUAGAUAAAGGAAUUUAGUCUGAUUUUCUUUUUACUCCUUCUUUUAGGCAAACAUUUCAGUGUUUAUUGUAUCCCUUUCUGUUGGACAAUAAGAUUUGCAAAUAUGAGUUCAAAUUGCCAGGAAACUCAAUUUUCUUUUCUCCUCAUUUCUCUGAACUUUUCCCACAAAAACAUUCACAUAGGGUUCCUGACAUUAUAAAGAAAUAGAAGUUAUAGCAUAGACUGGGAAAAUAAUUUUCCUGGAAAGACCAGGACAUGAAAUCCCAAUCGAGACCAUCUAUUAGGAUUCUAUUUAAAUAAACUCAGAAAAAUUGUAUUUAACCAAAUUUCAAAAUAUAAAUUAUCUGUUUAUGCAUAAC
rnacentral:lncRNA from 1 species